rnacentral:lncRNA from 1 species
CAUGUGGCCAUGCUCCCUGCCGUGAUAAUAACAGAUUAACCCUCGAAAACUCUACUCCCAUAGGCCUGCUUUGAGCAUUUGAGUGAGCACAGCCACAGGCAAGUCUACAGAACAGACCCUUCCUCUCUGACUUUGUGGCAACUUCCUCCCUGCUGGUCAUCCCACUUCCUCUCCUGGACUCCUGCCCUAAACACAGUCUAAAAAUCCAGACACAGCUAUAUACAGAGGCAAGACCAUGCAAGGAUGCAGAAGGCCGCCUUCUCCAAGCCGAGCUGAGAGUCCUCAGAAGAGACCAACACUCCACACACCUUGGUCUUAGAUUUCUAGCUUCUGG